rnacentral:lncRNA from 1 species
CCACAUACUGUAGCUCAAGGUUAACAAACUUUCUAAAAUUGGAGGUAAAACCAUUAAGACCAAUACAAAUACAUGUGAUGCAAAGCCUUCUACAAAUGGCCUGGUCUGACACAAC